GAUGAACGCUGGCGGCGUGCCUAAUACAUGCAAGUAGAACGCUGAAGGAGGAGCUUGCUUCUCUGGAUGAGUUGCGAACGGGUGAGUAACGCGUAGGUAACCUGCCUGGUAGCGGGGGAUAACUAUUGGAAACGAUAGCUAAUACCGCAUAAGAGUAGAUGUUGCAUGACAUUUGCUUAAAAGGUGCAAUUGCAUCACUACCAGAUGGACCUGCGUUGUAUUAGCUAGUUGGUGGGGUAACGGCUCACCAAGGCGACGAUACAUAGCCGACCUGAGAGGGUGAUCGGCCACACUGGGACUGAGACACGGCCCAGACUCCUACGGGAGGCAGCAGUAGGGAAUCUUCGGCAAUGGACGGAAGUCUGACCGAGCAACGCCGCGUGAGUGAAGAAGGUUUUCGGAUCGUAAAGCUCUGUUGUAAGAGAAGAACGAGUGUGAGAGUGGAAAGUUCACACUGUGACGGUAUCUUACCAGAAAGGGACGGCUAACUACGUGCCAGCAGCCGCGGUAAUACGUAGGUCCCGAGCGUUGUCCGGAUUUAUUGGGCGUAAAGCGAGCGCAGGCGGUUAGAUAAGUCUGAAGUUAAAGGCUGUGGCUUAACCAUAGUACGCUUUGGAAACUGUUUAACUUGAGUGCAAGAGGGGAGAGUGGAAUUCCAUGUGUAGCGGUGAAAUGCGUAGAUAUAUGGAGGAACACCGGUGGCGAAAGCGGCUCUCUGGCUUGUAACUGACGCUGAGGCUCGAAAGCGUGGGGAGCAAACAGG
rnacentral:rRNA from 1 species